UACGUAGGGUGCAAGCGUUAAUCGGAAUUACUGGGCGUAAAGCGUGCGUAGUCGGUAUUGAGAGUCGCGGGUGAAAUCCCAGGGCUUAACCCUGGAACUGCCUGCGAGACCUCAGUACUAGAGUGUGAGAGGGGAUAGUGGAAUACCCAGUGUAGCGGUGAAAUGCGUAGAGAUUGGGUGGAACACCGGUGGCGAAGGCGGCUAUCUGGCUCACAACUGACGAUCAGGCACGAAAGCGUGGGGAGCAAACAGG
rnacentral:rRNA from 2 species